UACGUAGGGGGCAAGCGUUGUCCGGAAUCAUUGGGCGUAAAGAGCGUGUAGGCGGCUCGAUAAGUCCGCUGUGAAAGUCCAGGGCUCAACCCUGGAAGGCCGGUGGAAACUGUCGGGCUAGAGUCCGGAAGAGGCGAGUGGAAUUCCCGGUGUAGCGGUGAAAUGCGCAGAUAUCAGGAGGAACACCGGUGGCGAAGGCGGGUCUCUGGGCCGUAACUGACGCUGAGGAGCGAAAGCAUGGGGAGCGAACAGG
rnacentral:rRNA from 1 species